rnacentral:tRNA from 1 species
CGAGGCAUAGCUCAGUUGGAUAGAGCAGUGGACUUCUAAUCCACCGGUCGAAAGUUCGAAUCUUUCUGUCUCGA